GUCAGGAUGGCCGAGUGG
rnacentral:ncRNA from 2 species